AUUAGAUGAGCUUAUUUUAGAUUAGCUAGUUGGUGGAGUAAUAGCCUACCAAGGCAAUGAUCUAUAGCUGAUCUGAGAGGAUGAUCAGCCACACUGGAACUGAGAUACGGUCCAGACUCCUACGGGAGGCAGCAGUGGGGAAUAUUGGACAAUGGGCGAAAGCCUGAUCCAGCUAUGCCGCAUGAGUGAAGAAAGCCUUUGGGUUGUAAAGCUCUUUUAGUGAGGAAGAUAAUGACGGUACUCACAGAAGAAGUCCUGGCUAACUCCGUGCCAGCAGCCGCGGUAAUACGGAGAGGGCUAGCGUUAUUCGGAAUUAUUGGGCGUAAAGGGCGCGUAGGCUGAUUAAUAAGUUAAAAGUGAAAUCCCGAGGCUUAACCUUGGAACUGCUUUUAAAACUAUUAAUCUAGAGAUUGAAAGAGGAUAGAGGAAUUCCUGAUGUAGAGGUAAAAUUCGUAAAUAUUAGGAGGAACACCAGUGGCGAAGGCGUCUAUCUGGUUCAAAUCUGACGCUGAGGCGCGAAGGCGUGGGGAGCAAACAGGAUUAGAUACCCUGGUAGUCCACGCUAUAAACGAUGAAUGUUAAAUAUGGGAAG
rnacentral:rRNA from 1 species